CAUAGUAUUUCUUAUCAGGUUUUAAAGUUAUUGCUCUCAUUCCUACUUGUCGCCAUUUUGAUUUGUCUGUGAAGUACUGUGAUCUUGAAGCAAGGAGAGUUCAAAGGCAAAGCAGGAACAGGAACAGUGGUGAUUAAGUGAAGAGAGAUGAUUUAAGUAAUCAGCACAGUGCUAGGUGUGGAGGGGAAUAGAAAGGAAGAAGAAACAGUCUCUGGUCUUAAACUUAACAAAAAAAGGGAUUGGGCAAAUCAGACAGAAGAAUAGUGCUCUGAAAUACUUCAGUGAAGCAACCAUAUCUAAGUAUGAAGGAUGCCAAGGAGGAAUGAAUGGCCAAUAAAUGUCAGAUGAAACAAAGACGAUGCAGAGAAAAAUACGGAAAGGCCAAAGAAAGAAGUUGAAAGGCAACUGUAAUCGAAGUUUCAAUGACUGCAGGGAUACAGAAAUGGCAAGGUUCUUAGGGAUCAUCUGUUAUGAGCCAGUUCCCACAAGUGAGGAGUAAAUCAGCCGGGGCCCACAGAGGUUAAAUGACUCUGCCGGGGCCAGCUACAGGGCGCAGAGCACGCUGACCUCGGUUCCACACUGCUGCACACCAGGAGGGAAAAGAUAUUUGUCCACUGAAAUUUGGAAAUGUUACAGUGUCAUGAGAAAGCACAAGAUGCCUGGAAGAAGUGACAAGAAAAAAUGGACCUCACAACUAAGGUAAGAUCACAUCAACCUGCAGUUCUUAAAGUGUGGUCCCCAUGGCAGCAGCCGCAAGCUCACCUGGGAAUUCGUCAGAAAUGCAAAUGUUUGGGCCUCUCCUCACCUUCACCAGGCCUACGGAAUAAACCCAGGAGGCAGGGCCAGCAAACUGUGUUUUAACAAGCCCUCUGGCCUGGAGUAACAAAGAAAAGUCGCUGAAGAAGAAACAACGAGGAACCAAAAAUGUAUCUGCUAUUUUGAGAAGAGAGAAGAGAAAAAAAUUUCUAACAACAGGCAAUUCACUCUCAAUAGAAUUUGUUGCAAACUGACCAACAAGAUUGCUAUUGCAAAACCACCACCAGGCUUAAAGGCUGCUUUAUUUCACAGACUAUUUCUGCAAUGGAAUUUUAUGCUUAGAGAUUUUUGAAAUCAAUAAGAUACACAUGUGCAUACACACUUCAAAAUACACUUUGGUAACUCUUAAGCAUGGUCUCUGAUAAACAUAUGGGGACCAAAAGAAGAGGUCUAGGGAGAAGGUGUCACUCUUUUCCAUUUGAUCUAUUGACAGUGGUGGCGGCACACUAUAUACUGGAGGAUUUGGGCGCCUAAAUAAAGCAUC